AGAUAAGCUACAGCAAGUCGUUACUUGUCCUGAAUGCACAACCUUCUUUCUUUGAGCAAGAGGACAAACCUGGGUAGGGAUCUCUAUGAUCUUUUCUGUGUUGCCUGUGGACGUUCAUCUUUCUGAUUUGUUAGCUGAAGAUGAGGAUCUGGAGCAGGAGUUUGGAGUGCCAUUGUUCCAUGGGCAGAAGUUCGGCAGAGAUUAUAAGAGCUUCUUUGUCUCCGUCACGUAACACGUGCCCUGUGCUUCGGUGCCUGCACAUCCACAUCCACAUUUCUUUGGCUGUCUUAGGAGACAUAUUCCAUCCUCAUCCAUUAACCCCUCCCUGCUGAAAGGAUGUUUCCCAGCAGCCUCCACUUUGAUAUGAUCUUCUGGUGCUGCUGUAGACAAGGAUACACUUGGAAUAGGUUAGAAAUGUUCCUUUCUGGCUGAGCUCGGUGACUCAUGCCUAUAAUCCUAGCACUUUGGGAGGCUGAGGUGGGUGGAUCACCUGAGGUCAGGAGCUUGAGACAUGGUGAAACUCUGUCUCUACUGAAAAUACAAAAAUAGUUAGUCAUGGUGGCGUGUGCUUGUUGUCCCAGCUACUUGGGAGGCUGAGGCUGAGACUGAGGCUGGGGCACUUGUACCUGGGAGGUGGAGAUUGCAGUGAACCAAGAUCGUGCCAAUGCACUCCAACCUGGGUGACCAGAGUGAAACUCCAUUUCAAAAAAAAAAAAAAAAGAAAGAAAAAAGAAAAAGAAAAGAAAAAAGAAAAAGAAAUGUUCCUUUCUCUGAACAACCUUCUCCCUCUCUGUAUGUAGAUGAAACCCCCCCUUGAACUAGGCACCUCAUGUUCUCUAAGUCAUAGUGUCUGUGUGGAUUGAUGCCAGCUAGAACUGAUGGCCAAUAUGGCAAUUUCAUCUUGUUAGUACAGAGAUCUCACCUGCUAUUUUUGCUUAAAGAGAAAACUACCCAGCAUAUCAGCCUGAGUAAAAAAAAAAAAUUAAUGUGCUAUAAACAUGCACAUCGACUACUUGUCAAAUCAAUGUGUUUCUGGUAUUUCAAUUAAAUUGCGUAAAGAUUUAAUUAGAAGACUUACAAGAACUACAAGUUAUUUCAAAAAUAAGGUAUUAAUUUUCUGUGUUAUGAAAUUAAGAAGUGAUAAAUGGAUGAGGCAGUUUACAUGAUUGAUAUCGACCCUUUAUGACUAUAACCUGCAGUUUUUGUUUUUAUAUGAUCCCUCAAUAUGCUGUUUCAAAAAAUCGUUGAGGAAUAGUCAGGAAUCUUAGACAGAUAAGUAGUAAAAAUGCGGCUUUUUUUUUUUUUUUUU
rnacentral:lncRNA from 1 species